UAUAGUUAAAUAUGAUAACAGGAGCUAUUGUUGGGGAUGCUACGCGAACUACAUCUCCACCACCAGCGGCCCAGGUAUCAUAAAUUCCACCGAAGUACAUAGCUUUCGCAACAAGUAGAUAACAUCCGCAACCUAAUAACACUAGAUGAAAUCCCAAGAUUGUUGCCAUCUUAUUUUUGUCACGCCA
rnacentral:antisense_RNA from 1 species